UACGGGGGGGGCAAGCGUUGUUCGGAAUUACUGGGCGGAAAGGGUUUGUAGGUGGCUUGCUAAGUCAGACGUGAAAUCCCUCAGCUUAACUGGGGAACUGCGUCUGAGACUGGCAAGCUUGAGUGCAGGAGAGGAACGCGGAAUUCCAGGUGUAGCGGUGAAAUGCGUAGAUAUCAGGAGGAACACCGGUGGCGAAGGCGGGUCUCUGGGCCGAAAUUGACGCUGAGGAGCGAAAGCGUGGGGAGCAAACAGG
rnacentral:rRNA from 1 species